AUGUCAAGACAUACGCUGUCACAACAAGGAACACACUUGCUCACACGUGUCUCCGAGCUGAUUGAGCCAAACACACAUACAUGGGAUGAGGGGCUUGUACGGCAGACUUUCCUUCCGAUGGAGGCAAGUAUUAUUCUUUCAAUACCAGUGUUUGAACAACAUGACAAUUUCAUUGCAUGGCAUUUUGACGCAAAGGGGCUCUUCUCUGUAAAGUCUGCUUAUCGGGUGCACACAGAUAUGAUGAUGAGACAAUCAAACAUCAGCCAAGGAGAUAGCGUCGCCGGGUUGGGGUGGAGAAAGGCGGUGUGGGCUGCUAUUUGGAAAGUGCACUGCCCAGGGAAAGUACAUCAUUUCACGUGGAGAUUCGGACAUAAUAGUCACCCGCUAAAUAUGAAUAUUGCUAGGCGGGGUGUGGAGUUGGAUACACGUUGUGUGGUGUGCAAUAAAUAUUUUGAAGAUGGUGGACAUUUCUUUUUCCGUUGCAAGGCGGUCAGAGCUAUGUGGCGAGCGGCCGAUCUGGAAAACGAGAGACUAAAUAUUAUGCAGGCUCCCACGGCGUUGGAGGUGCUGGAGAGGAUUAUGGCAUUACCUGAGCAAAAGAAACUAAAGGUGAUUUGUCUCCUGUGGCGUUGGUGGUCUGAACGCAAUAGAAGAAGACAUGGGGAG
rnacentral:rRNA from 1 species